GGGCCCGCACAAGCGGUGGAGUAUGUGGUUUAAUUCGAUGCAACGCGAAGAACCUUACCAGCUCUUGCAUCUGACAUGUUGAUGAAAUAGAUUUCAUCUUAAUAAAGUCAGACAGGUGUUGCAUGGCUGUCGUCAGCUCGUGUUGUGAAAUGUUUGGUUAAUUCCCUUAACGAGCGAAACCCUUGUGGUUAGAAGGGCUUUUUAAUAUAAAAAGCCAUUUAAUCUUACUGCCAUUAAUAAAUUAGAGGAGGGUGAGGAUGACGUCAAGUCCGCAUGGCCCUUAUGGGCUGGGCUACACACAUGCUACAAUGGCAAUCACAAUGAGAAGCAAUGGUGCGAGCCGGAGCAAUCUAUAACUGUUGCCUUAGUUCGGAUUGUAGGCUGCAACUCGCCUACAUGAAGUUGGAAUCGCUAGUAAUCG
rnacentral:rRNA from 1 species